rnacentral:ribozyme from 1 species
UGAAAAGGAAAUUAAAAAUGAUCGAAAAUCUAGUCAUUUCUACGUAAAUCGAUCUCUUUUUUUUUCUUUUUUUUUAUAAAGCCGCAUUAUUCAUUUUUAUUGUUUACCAUCUUAAUUUGUUUUU